rnacentral:rRNA from 1 species
CUACGGGCGGCAGCAGUGGGGAAUAUUGGACAAUGGGGGCGACCCUGAUCCAGCAAUGCCGCGUGUGUGAAGAAGGCCUGCGGGUUGUAAAGCACUUUCAAUAGGGAGGAAAAGCUUUGGGUUAAUACCCCGAAGUCUUGACGUUACCUUUAGAAGAAGCACCGGCUAACUCUGUGCCAGCAGCCGCGGUAAUACAGAGGGUGCGAGCGUUAAUCGGAAUUACUGGGCGUAAAGCGCGCGUAGGCGGUUUGAUAAGUCAGAUGUGAAAGCCCCGGGCUUAACCUGGGAACUGCAUUUGAUACUGUCAAACUAGAGUAUGGUAGAGGGUAGUAGAAUUCCUGGUGUAGCGGUGAAAUGCGUAGAUAUCAGGAGGAAUACCAGUGGCGAAGGCGGCUACCUGGACCAAUACUGACGCUGAGGUGCGAAAGCGUGGGGAGCAAACAGGAUUAGAUACCCCCGUAGUC